AUACUUACCUGGGCGGGGUCGAUCGAUGAACAGGAAGGUCGAUGGCCUAGGAAGGUCACCUCCAUUGCACUUGGGAGGGGGGUCUACCUAGCAUCUCCCACUGAGGAGAGUGCACAUCAUAAUUUGUGGCAGUGGAGUUUUGUGGCAGUGGAGGCUUGCGUUCAGACAGCCUCCAC
rnacentral:snRNA from 1 species